rnacentral:tRNA from 1 species
GGAAAGGUGUCCGAGAGGCCUAAGGAGCACGCUUGGAAAGCGUGUGUAGCGCAAGUUACCGAGGGUUCGAAUCCCUCCCUUUCCG